GAGAACCCGUAAAACCCUAAUAUUUUUCCUAGGGUUUAUUUCCCCUUAAUUGCAUGUUUUCUGCAUUUUCUGGCUUAGGAAUAUUUUCCUGGUGAAUUUUAUGAGUAAUUAUAGUUUUAAGAUGAGUUUUCUCGUAUUGGAUAGUUUUUAGAAAAUUAAGAAUAUAUAUUGGACGUGGGACCCACGAGUGCGAAAAGUUCGGGAAAAUUCGGCCAAUACGGUUAAGUUUCGGAUACUGUGGAAAAGUUAUCGGAUGUUACGAGAUAAGUAGAGAGUGAGAUUUGAUUGAUGUGAGAGAGAAAAGAAAGGAUAGGAAUGCAUUUAUUAGAGUGCCAAGUGUCAAUUUUCCAUUGGUUUGACUUUAAGAGUUACUAUUCACUAUUUUGACCUUUGACCAAAAUUGGUUAAAUAUCUCCAAAAAUUCACACAUUUUCUUCCCUUGUGUUGGCCGAACCUCUCAUCAAAGAAGAAAGAAAAACUCUUCCAAGUUUAAGCUUCCAACAAGCUCAAAUCACCCAACUCAAGUCCUUAAACUAGAAUCUACUCCAUGAAAUUCCUUCCUUUGGUGCUCUUGAGUGUAUUAGUGAAGUUGAUUUGAAGAGC
rnacentral:lncRNA from 1 species